GUUGACCUCGGAUCAGGUAGGAAUACCCGCUGAACUUAAGCAUAUCAAUAAGCGGAGGAAAAGAAACCAACAGGGAUUGCCCUAGUAACGGCGAGUGAAGCGGCAACAGCUCAAAUUUGGAAUCUGGCCCCCCCAGGGCCCGAGUUGUAAUUUGCAGAGGAUGCUUUUGGCGCGGCGCCUUCCGAGUUCCCUGGAACGGGACGCCAUAGAGGGUGAGAGCCCCGUCUGGUCGGACGCCAAGCCAGUGUAAAGCUCCUUCGACGAGUCGAGUAGUUUGGGAAUGCUGCUCUAAACGGGAGGUAUAUGUCUUCUAAAGCUAAAUACCGGCCAGAGACCGAUAGCGCACAAGUAGAGUGAUCGAAAGAUGAAAAGCACUUUGAAAAGAGGGUUAAACAGUACGUGAAAUUGUUGAAAGGGAAGCGCUUGUGACCAGACUUGGGCCCGGUGAAUCAUCCAGCGUUCUCGCUGGUGCACUUUGCCGGGCCCAGGCCAGCAUCAGUUCGCCGCGGGGGACAAAAGCUCCGGGAACGUGGCUCCCCCGGGAGUGUUAUAGCCCGUUGCACAAUACCCUGCGGUGGACUGAGGUUCGCGCUCCGCAAGGAUGCUGGCGUAAUGGUCAUCAGUGACCCGUCUUGAAACACGGACCAAGGAGUCGUCUUCGUAUGCGAGUGUUCGGGUGUCAAACCCCUACGCGGAAUGAAAGUGAACGCAGGUGAGAGCUUCGGCGCAUCAUCGACCGAUCCUGAUGUUCUCGGAUGGAUUUGAGUAAGAGCAUACGGGGCCGGACCCGAAAGAAGGUGAACUAUGCCUGUGUAGGGUGAAGCCAGAGGAAACUCUGGUGGAGGCUCGCAGCGGUUCUGACGUGCAAAUCGAUCGUCAAACAUGGGCAUGGGGGCGAAAGACUAAUCGAACCUUCUAGUAGCUGGUUUCCGCCGAAGUUUCCCUCAGGAUAGCAGUGUUGAU
rnacentral:rRNA from 1 species